rnacentral:rRNA from 1 species
CAGAGGGGGCGAGCGUUGUUCGGAAUUACUGGGCGUAAAGGGCGCGUAGGCGGCCUUCUAAGUCGAAUGUGAAAUCCCCAGGCUCAACCUGGGAACUGCGUCCGAUACUGGGAGGCUUGAAUCCGGGAGAGGGAUGUGGAAUUCCAGGUGUAGCGGUGAAAUGCGUAGAUAUCUGGAGGAACACCGGUGGCGAAGGCGGCAUCCUGGACCGGUAUUGACGCUGAGGCGCGAAAGCUAGGGGAGCAAACGGGAUUAGAUACCCCGGUAGUCCUAGCCCUAAACGAUGAAUGCUUGGUGUGGCGGGUAUCGAUCCCUGCCGUGCCGAAGCUAACGCAUUAAGCAUUCCGCCUGGGGAGUACGGUCGCAAGGCUG